AGAUUGAACGCUGGCGGCAUGCUUUACACAUGCAAGUCGAGCGGCAGCGCGGGGGCAACCCUGGCGGCGAGCGGCGAACGGGUGAGGAAUACAUCGGAACGUACCCCGGAGUGGGGGAUAACGCCGCGAAAGCGGCGCUAAUACCGCAUAUGCUCUGAGGAGGAAAGUGGGGGACUCGCAAGGGUCUCACGCUCUGGGAGCGGCCGAUGUCCGAUUAGCUAGUUGGUGAGGUAAUGGCUCACCAAGGCGACGAUCGGUAGCUGGUCUGAGAGGAUGAUCAGCCACACUGGGACUGAGACACGGCCCAGACUCCUACGGGAGGCAGCAGUGGGGAAUUUUGGACAAGUGGGGGCAACCCUGAUCCAGCCAUGCCGCGUGCGGAAGAGGCCUUCGGUGUAACCGUCUUUAGUACGGAAGUAAAGGUAUACCUAACAGGAUGAUGUGACGGUACGCGGAUAAGCACGGCUAACUACGUGCCAGCAGCCG
rnacentral:rRNA from 1 species